AGGAGUGUAAUGAGAUCAGUCUGCUUGCUUUGCUGCGUCAAAAGCUUGCCAACCGGAGGAUGUGCUAUCUGGAAAGCAAACUCAUCAGAGUUCUUACAAACUUGUGUUUGAGAGCUUACCAAAGAGUCGAAAAGAGCUGAAUCUGGGAACACAGAUUGUAGCUCUUCGUUAGCUUGAGAGCGAACGAGAAAUCUUCUCGACGAUCCUUCCAUAAUACAUACAGUGCUUGAGCUCGUGAAACUCUGGGGAAGGUCUCUAAUUUUCCCAUCCAGCUGCUUCUUAAGAUCUAAUGUCACACAGUUAGAAAAGUAUAAGAGAAAAAAAGUACCUGAGGAAGUUCCAGAAGAUGUGUAGAGCGAGAGGCCAAGCUCGACUUUGACAUGAAGAAGCGUGAAACUCUGGGGAAGGUCUCUAAUUUUCCCAUCCAGCUGCUUCUUAAGAUCUAAUGUCACACAGUUAGAAAAGUAUAAGAGAAAAAAAGUACCUGAGGAAGUUCCAGAAGAUGUGUAGAGCGAAAGGCCAAGCUCGACUUGACAAUGAAGAAGCGCUGUGGAUUCCCAAAACUCUUUCGCGGAAAAGGAAGAUUGCUCGAUCGGUUGUAGGGCCUGAGAGAAGAACGUAAUGCCAUCGCUGGAGCUGGAUCGAGUAGCAUCAUCGUUCGAUGAGACCAGAGGCUUUUCCUGGCCACAGCACACGCCUUUGCAGCAUCCGAUCCAACCAGCAAUGCUCCAAUCACUUCCAGCCCCCGGGAAGAAGGAUCCGCAAUUCACCUGGAAUCUCGGAUCACGAAAUCUCUGUGCCUAGAGCCCUACCUUCCUCAGCGGCGUAAUCUGGAUCGCCAUCCUUGUAGCGCAGGCAGCGGAUCGAGGAAGCGAUCGUCCGGGACUCCAAUCAGCCACGCCACGCCGGCAUUCUCUUGUCUGUGCUUGGCGAGAUCGCACAGCACCCUAAGUUGACUUGCUGACUACCAUCAUUGACUGACAAG
rnacentral:lncRNA from 1 species